GUCUACAGCCAUGCUACCCUGAACAAGCCUGAUCCUGUCUGAUCUCGGAAGCUAAGCAGGGUUGGGACUGGUUAGUACUUGGAUGGGAGACCACCUAGAAAGACCAGGUGCUGUAGUCA
rnacentral:rRNA from 1 species